AUUGAACGCUGGCGGCAGGCUUAACACAUGCAAGUCGAGCGGGGGAAGGUAGCUUGCUACCGGACCUAGCGGCGGACGGGUGAGUAAUGCUUAGGAAUCUGCCUAUUAGUGGGGGACAACAUCUCGAAAGGGAUGCUAAUACCGCAUACGUCCUACGGGAGAAAGCAGGGGAUCUUCGGACCUUGCGCUAAUAGAUGAGCCUAAGUCGGAUGAGCUAGUUGGUGGGGUAAAGGCCUACCAAGGCGACGAUCUGUAGCGGGUCUGAGAGGAUGAACCGCCACACUGGGCCUGAGACACGGCCCAGACUCCUACGGGAGGCAGCAGUGGGGAAUAUUGGACAAUGGGGGGAACCCUGAGCCAGCCAUGCCGCGUGUGUGAAGAAGGCCUUAUGGUUGUAAAGCACUUUAAGCGAGGAGGAGGCUACUCUAGUUAAUACCUAGGGAUAGUGGACGUUACUCGCAGAAUAAGCACCGGCUAACUCUGUGCCAGCCGCCGCCGUAA
rnacentral:rRNA from 1 species